rnacentral:rRNA from 1 species
GCGUUAUCCGGAAUUAUUGGGCGUAAAGAGCUCGUAGGCGGUUUGUCGCGUCUGCUGUGAAAACUGGGGGCUCAACCCCCAGCCUGCAGUGGGUACGGGCAGACUAGAGUGCGGUAGGGGAGAUUGGAAUUCCUGGUGUAGCGGUGGAAUGCGCAGAUAUCAGGAGGAACACCAAUGGCGAAGGCAGAUCUCUGGGCCGUAACUGACGCUGAGGAGCGAAAGCAUG